CUGCUUUCUGUAAGUACUUCUGUAUGCAAGGGAGCACACAACAGGUUAGGAAUAAGAAGAUGAUAAUCAUUAUAAGAACAGCCGUUCCUACCUGGAAUCGGGUCCUUUGCCAACCAUUCAUCCACCCAAACCAUCUGUCCCAAGUGUCAGUGGCUCCUGAGUUCUUCUUUAGUUCAUCAGAAAGGCUAUCUAGCUUCUCUAUGGCCAUAGUUACCUUAACA